UUUAGGGAGUUAGAAGUUAGGAUUCUAUUUGUUUUUAUUAUUUUAAAAUCAAGCUUUGAAUCCUUAAAUCUCUCUGAAAAUUUUGAAAAAUUCCUAAGCCUUUGGCUGAAGGAUAUUCAAAUAUUUUCAAUUAAAUUUUUUUUUUUAUUCAAAGCCAAAAAGAAGAUUUUUAUUCCUAGAACUCUAUAAAUAGGACCUAGCACCAAGCAUUUUUCAUUCAUCAAGCUAAGUUCAGAGGCUGCAAGUUGCUAGGUUAUUGUGAGAGUGUAAACACUUGGGUUGGGGAUUAUAAGCUUGAUCAUCAUCAAACACUUUGGGAAGUGAGGUUCGUUAGUAUCUCGGUUGUGGUUAGAUUGGUCUUUCAAGUCUUUGAGGUAACCAAAACUCUAGUUCAUUUCUGUAUUAUGUUAUUCUCUUUCUCAUAGUCUUCUACUCAAUCUCUAACCUUAAUCUUCAUUUUGGUUAGGAAAUCUAAGCUCUUGAGCACAUAAGUUUUGGGUAAGUGUACUUUCAAUGGUUUAGUCUUCCCAUUUUCCUUUUCAUCUCUUUUCUUCUUUAGACUCACUCUUUCUAAUGGUUAUUAGGAGUGUUCCAAAAAGUCCCAACUCAGUCCACAUAUCCCGGUAACUUUGGAAAAUAAGCUUUAGAGGCGGUAAGAUUCGUGACGCUUAGAGGAUGUGUAUCGAUGGUGGAUGGAGUCAAGGAGCCGAGCGUUAUUCGAUUCGAGGAUGUAGUCUUGUUUAUGUUUUUAUGGUUUUAAAUGUAUUUUCCACAUUUUCUAUGUAACUCUUAUUACUUUAAGUUAUUUUUGUUUUAAAGACAAUGGGUACCCAUAUCCUAUUUAUUUUAUGAAAGUAACAUUUGUUUCUACAAGUUUCUAAUAAAGUAUGGUAUUUCCGCAAAAA